rnacentral:tRNA from 1 species
GGAGGAGUCGCAUAGCGGCCUAUUGCACGCGCUUGGAAAGCGCGCGAGAGCAAUCUCACGCGGGUUCAAAUCCCGCCUCCUCCG